rnacentral:rRNA from 1 species
GAGCACGUAGGUGGGUUUGUAAGUCAGAUGUGAAAGCCUUCUGUUCAACGGAAGAAUUGCAUCUGAAACUGCAAACCUUGAGUAUAGGAGGGGAGAAUGGAACUUCUGGUGGAGCGGUGAAAUGCGUAGAUAUCAGGAGGAACGCCGGCGGCGAAAGCGAUUCUCUGGCCUAUUACUGACACUCAGUGUGCGAAAGCUAGGGGAGCAAACGGGAUUAGAUACCCCGGUAGUCCUAGCCGUAAACGAUGGGCACUAAGUAGAGGGGUUUU